AGUGAACGCUGGCGGUAGGCCUAACACAUGCAAGUCGAACGGCAUCACAGUAAUAUCUUGCUCUUACGGGUUGCGAGUGUCGUUCUUUUUAUUAAUACAUCGUAAUCUACUUUUUCUUUUGUUAUAACGUAGGGAAACUUACGCUAAUACCGCAUACGACCUACGGGUGAAAGCAGGGGUUCUUCGGACCUUGCGCGUUUGAAUGAGCCGAUGUCGGAUUAGCUAGUUGGCGGGGUAAAGGCCCACCAAGGCAACGAUCCGUAGCUGGUCUGAGAGGAUGAUCAGCAAAAAUGGAAAUGAAACAAGGUCCAGACUCCUACGGGAGGCAGCAGUGGGGAAUAUUGGACAAUGGGCGCAAGCCUGAUCCAGCCAUACCGCGUGGGUGAAGAAGGCCUUCGGGUUGUAAAGCCCUUUUGUUGGGAAAGAAAAGCAGCAGGUUAAUACCCCGCUGUUCUGACGGUACCCAAAGAAUAAGCACCGGCUAACUUCGUG
rnacentral:rRNA from 1 species